rnacentral:rRNA from 1 species
UACGUAGGGGGCAAGCGUUGUCCGGAUUUAUUGGGCGUAAAGAGCGUGUAGGCGGUUAUACAGGUCCGCUGUGAAAACUGGAGGCUUAACCUCCAGACGUCGGUGGAAACCGUAUAACUAGAGUCCGGAAGAGGGAGAGUGGAAAUUCCUGGUGUAGCGGUGGAAAUGCGCAGAUAUCAGGAAGAACACCCGUGGCGAAGGCGGCUCUCUGGGACGGUACUGACGCUGAGACGCGAAAGCGUGGGGAGCGAACAGG